rnacentral:rRNA from 1 species
GAUGAACGCUAGCUACAGGCUUAACACAUGCAAGUCGAGGGGUUCUGAAGGAGCUUGCUUCUGAUGAACGACCGGCGCACGGGUGAGUAACGCGUAUCCAACCUGCCCUUCAUAUUGGGAUAGCCUUCCUGGAUGAAAGAUUCAUCGGUCAUGGAUGGGGAUGCGUAAGAUUAGGUAGUAGGCGGGGUAACGGCCCACCUAGCCGACGAUCUUUAGGGGUUCUGAGAGGAAGGUCCCCCACACUGGUACUGAGACACGGACCAGACUCCUACGGGAGGCAGCAGUGAGGAAUAUUGGUCAAUGGGCGGAAGCCUGAACCAGCCAAGUAGCGUGAAGGAUUACUGCCCUACGGGUUUUAAACUUCUUUUAUGCGAGAGUAAUGUGCGCUACGUGUAGCGUAUUGCAAGUAUCGCAUGAAUAAGCAUCGGCUAACCCCGUG